GACGAACGCUGGCGGCGUGCUUAACACAUGCAAGUCGAACGGAAAGGCCCUGCUUUUGUGGUGUUCUCGAUUGGCGAACGGGUGAGUAACACGUGAGUAACCUGCCCUUGACUUUGGGAUAACUUCAGGAAACUGGGGCUACUCCCGUAUAGGAUCUCCUGUUGCAUUGUGGGGGUUGGAAAGUCUCGGCGGUUGGGGAUGGACUCGCGGGUUAUCAGCUUGCUGGUGGGGUAGUUGCUUACCCAGGCUUUGACGGGUCGCCGGCCUGAGAGGGUGGACGGGGACAUGGGGACUGAGAUACGGACCAGACUCCUACGGGAGGCAGCAGUGGGAAAUAUUACACAAUGGGAGGAAGCCUGAUGAAGAAGCGCCGCGUGCGGGAUGACGGCCUUCGGGGUGUAAACAGCUUUCGCCUGUGACGAAGCGUGAGUGACGGUAAUGGGUAAAGAAGCACCGGCUAACUACGUG
rnacentral:rRNA from 1 species